UACGGAUGGAGCAAGCGUUGUCCGGAAUCAUUGGGCGUAAAGGGUGCGUAGGCGGUUUUUUAAGUCUGCAUUGUAAGUUCAGUGCUUAACGCUGAAAUUGGUGCGGAAACUGGAAGACUUGAGUACUGUAGGGGAAAGCGGAAUGCCCUGUGUAGAGGUGAAAUUCGUAGAUAUAGGGUGGAACAUCAAAAGCGAAGGCAGCUUUCUGGGCAGUAACUGACGCUGAGGCACGAAAGCGUGGGGAG
rnacentral:rRNA from 1 species